AACGUAGGAGACUAGCGUUAAUCGGAAUUACUGGGCGUAAAGCGUGCGCAGGCGGUUAUGUAAGACAGUUGUGAAAUCCCCGGGCUCAACCUGGGAACUGCAUCUGUGACUGCAUAGCUAGAGUACGGUAGAGGGGGAUGGAAUUCCGCGUGUAGCAGUGAAAUGCGUAGAUAUGCGGAGGAACACCGAUGGCGAAGGCAAUCCCCUGGACCUGUACUGACGCUCAUGCACGAAAGGCGUGGGGAGCAAACAGG
rnacentral:rRNA from 1 species